AUUUAAGUAGUUUAAUUAAAAAUUUUAAUUUGUGAUAUUAAAGAUAUUAUUUUAAUCUUAAAUA
rnacentral:tRNA from 1 species